rnacentral:misc_RNA from 1 species
CGCACCUUGCGCCCUCUGGUAUUCCGGAGGGCAUGCCUGUUUGAGUGUCAGUGAAAUCUCAACCUCUCAUGCUUUGUUGGCAUUGAGAGGAUUGGAUGUGGAGGCUUGCUGGAUUUUAUUCAGCUCCUCUGAAAUGUAUUAGCAGGAACCAUUGCUAAGGUUUACUGCAGCCGUGUGAUAAUUAUCUUGCGGUUGAAGUAAAUGUUUAGUUUGUCUCACUUUUGGUCUGAAGAAAUGCUCUUUGAGCUUUCUUUGCCUUCUCUCUUCGGAGUGAUACCUAUCCAAGUGUAGAUUUUAAUGGUCUUAUCCAGCUUCUAACCAUCUGGAAACAGAUAACACUUGACCAUUUGACCUCAAAUCAGGUAGGACUACCCGCUGAACUUAA